rnacentral:misc_RNA from 1 species
GAGAGAGAGCGGUUGAAGGUAGUUGCCUUAUCUAGACCCUGAGCACAUAAACUCAAAUUUUGAUCCAGCAUAGAAACCCAACAUAGCUUGCCCUCUCUCAUUCCAUGGAAAUUCUCCUGAAAUCAACAUUCCCUAUAUUCUCCAAGCACCCAAAUAUCCCAGCAACCAAACCCACCAAACCCUUAAAGGUUUCGAUAAAACCUCCACCGCCAGACUUUGAUUUCAGGUCCGAGAUAUUGCAAGAAUCCAGAGCCACAAUUGCCAAAUCCCAUCCACAACUGCGAGAUUUGGCUGAUACAGGUAGCUUAGUACUGAUUGAGAAGCGACUUUUUGGUCCAGUACCGGCCUGGAGGACCGAGUUUGUUGAACCGGAGGCUAUCUGGUUGGUUGGAACCACUCAUAUUUCCAGUGGAUCUGCCGCAGAGGUGGAGCGUGUAGUGCAGGCUGUGAAGCCUGACAAUGUGGUAGUUGAGCUCUGUAGAAGCAGGCAAGUUUACUUUUAUUUAUAGUUUUCUAGUUAGUUUAUUUAUGGAAUCAAAGUCAUGUAUGGUGGUUGAAUUUUUUUUUUUCUGAAUAUUCAAAAUCAAAUUGAUAAACUCAACUCUGAAAUCUUAUUUUGUAUGGUUGAAUAUUUGAUGGCUAUCCAAAAAGCCACGCAUCUUAAAUUCACUUGUUGCAGAGCCCAUUUGCAGAGCUGGGAUUAUGUACACUGGUAAUGAAGGUGAGAUUGGCAAACAAUUAAAGUCAAAUAUGUUCUCAUUGAGCGGGACUGGCUUUUUUGGUGCUGUGGGUCGUAGCAUAAACUUGGGGGGUCAAACAGCUCUAGCCUUGCGUCUGCUUUUAGCACUAUUCUCCUCAAAAUUAUCUUCUGAUGUCAACCGCUCAUUUGGAGACGAGUUUCGUGCUGCUCGAAAAGCUUCUGAAGAAGUUGGUGCUCAGAUAGUUUUGGGGGAUCGGCCAAUUGAAAUAACGCUUGAAAGGGCGUGGAAGGCUCUGAAAUGGAAUGAGAAGCUUAAUUUUGUAAUAGCAGUUGUUCGUGGAAUUAUCUCAUCAUCUGAUACAUCAAGGAACAAUUUAAAGGUUUUUCUCUUACCAAUAUUUCGUGUAUCAAUUAUAUUCUCCAUAUAUAUUUGCUGAAAAUUUCAGUUCAGAUUCUGUCAGCAAGAUAAACUUGAGCAAAAUUGCAGGCAUCAAAUACAAAAGAUGGGACCUUUCAGCUAUAUGAGCAACUAAGUUUCGCAUAUCCAUCACUCUUGCAGCCUCUUAUACAUGAACGAGACACUUACCUGGCAUGGUCUCUGAAACGGAGCAAAGCCGUGAACAAGAGCAAGAGAGUGGUGGGGGUGAUUGGAAACGGGCAUAUGAAUGGGAUAAUAUAUGCACUAGUGUCUGAUCAGGGAAACUUGCGCUUUCGAGACCUCGUCGGGAAGAGGACUUCCGCUGACGGGUCUAAUGGAUUUGUGGAUAGUCUUGUUAGGAGCUUGGUAAGAGACACAGUGAUCGGUGUCCUGCUUUGGCAAUUGUAUGAGAAGCUUGCAGCCUCUUCUGCCCUUCAAGGGAGGGGAGAUCUCCUCCUUCCUAACCCAAUAGUGAGUUUCUUCUCUCUCCUUAUUGGGUGGAUUUUGUAAAUGAUUUUUGAUUUGUUUUGUAAGUCCAGUGCUUCAUUGGAGAGGGUUUUCGUCUGACCUGAGUAGCCUUUCAUCGUAGUUGCAUGUGUGUUUAUGGAUGAGUAGGUUUGAAUCUUGGCUAUUUAUAGGUGUUUGAGCGCAUGUGAUGAUAUUGGAAGCCUCUAAAUUGGCAUGUGCUCGUCUAUUUUACCGUGGCAUGGGAUUCAGUUUUUGUCUAGUGGUGUUUUGCUUACGGAGUGCGAUCUAAAAGAUCGGCUUGAAAGGUGAAAUUGGAAUGUCGAAGAGCCUCAUCGACGAUGUCUUCUGCUUGUUUAGGUGUUGAUUCGAAGCUUAUAUGGCUCUCCAAAGAUGUCCAACAACUUAACCUUUGUGAUUUUGUCACCAAGAUGUUUUCUUCUCCUAUUCCACAUAUUUGUUUGUGCAUGCAAUAUGUGGUGUUUUUUUAAUCUUCUUGGUGCUUCUUCCUCAAGGGAUAAUGGUGUGCGGCGAUGAUGCUACCUGUCGGCGGUGUUAAUAACUCUUACUUCCUAG